AAACCAACAGGGAUUGCCUUAGUAACGGCGAGUGAAGCGGCAAAAGCUCAAAUUUGAAAUCUGGCACUUUCAGUGUCCGAGUUGUAAUUUGAAGAAGGUAACUUUGGAGUUGGCCCUUGUCUAUGUUCCUUGGAACAGGACGUCACAGAGGGUGAGAAUCCCGUGCGAUGAGGUGUCCAAUUCUAUGUAAAGUGCUUUCGAAGAGUCGAGUUGUUUGGGAAUGCAGCUCUAAGUGGGUGGUAAAUUCCAUCUAAAGCUAAAUAUUGGCGAGAGACCGAUAGCGAACAAGUACAGUGAUGGAAAGAUGAAAAGAACUUUGAAAAGAGAGUGAAAAAGUACGUGAAAUUGUUGAAAGGGAAGGGCUUGAGAUCAGACUCGGUAUUUUGCAAGCCUAUCCUUCGUGGAGAGGUUUAUUAGCAGCUUACCGGGCCAGCAUCGGUUUGGAUGGUAGGAUAAUGGCAUUGGAAUGUGGCUCCUCGGAGUGUUAUAGCCUUUGUUGAUACUGCCUAUCUAGACCGAGGACUGCGUCUUUGACUAGGAUGCUGGCGUAAUGAUCUUAAGCCGC
rnacentral:rRNA from 2 species